GUCUCUCACUUUUGCCUGUAUAUACAACCUUUCUCUUGCUUUUAUAUCUCUAGAAAUGAAGACUGAACAGUCAACUUUUACAAGUGCUAUCCCUUUUUUUCAGGUGACUUUAACUGGAGGCUCAGAGUUCUCAGCUGUGUUACCUAUUACUUACUUAGCUUGUUGUUCAGACUGAAAAAAUCAUUACGUUGGGUGCUAGCAAGUUCUUUGCUUAAGAUGCCUCUUUUUGAACGCACAGUCAUUAAAGUUUAUUCCUUAUACAGAAUUUUUUCUGUGGUUUUGAUACCGAGAGCCUCCAGACUGAAAUAUUAGGGGAAGGGUGGUUUAGAGAAAUAGUUUUGCUAUCAAACCUGUUUGUUAUGUGUGGGGUUUUUUGCUAUCAAAGCUCAAAAUAAACAAAGAUGGGGGUUUAGGUGUGUGCGUUCUGAAGAAUCUAUACAUAGUUUAUAAACCUUAUGACAGUUGAAAAUGUUGUAAGUAGCAGAAGGAUUGCUUAAUGUGGAAGGAAUGUGCUGAGCAAAGAACGCUCAUGCAAGGAAGGGAAGAAUGAAAUCACUUUAAUGAUGUAUACAGUGACUGAGUUAGGAUUGGAAAGGUUAGAGACAGGAGAGAACCUAUUCUGAAGAAGGUCAGAGACUGUAUGGUUUUAGAGAUCUGAAAGCCAGGUGUAGGACUGGUGGGAGUUAUGUCAGUUAAGGUACUGAAGUAGCUGAAAAUAUCUUUUAAGUACAAUCCAGACCUCUGUUCAACUGUUUUUAUGCUUUCAUCUUGAUAAAGAAAAUUAACUUUCUGCUUUGUUAAAGUUAAAUUUGUUUUCACCUAUAAAUCUGUUGGAUGUGGAGAGUAUAUAUUACAAGCCUAAGAUAUGUAGAUUCUCUGGAAGUGAUAAAUGGAAACGGGGUAUUUUGCUCCCUGUGAAGUGAGGCAAAUUUGAGAACCUCAGGGGCUAGGAUGCAGAGUUGACUGAGCAACAAUGAUAACUCUUCAGUGCCAGAUCCUCAGAUGAUCUUCCAUUGCUGUAAGCUAGUAUUGUUCUAGCAGGAGACAAGUAACAGAGAGAAUCUGCAGUUCUGGAUACCAUCAAAUUAUCAGUCUUAUAGCUUGAUGUAGAGGUAAAAAAAUGCAGAAAAGGUGGCUGGUAUUUAAAGUGGGUCUUACAGUCUAACACAGAUGCACAAAGUGACUCCUCACUAUCAAACAGAAUUCAGCUGUGCCUCAUAUCAUUUUUCUAGAAUGUUUUUAUGAGAUAAUGAAAAUGUUGAACUUAGCACUGAAAAUAUCAAUACAGGAUGUUAAUGCAGGGCAUGUAACAUGCUGUUUAUUCACACCCUGUCUUACUGCAGUGACUCCCUGACAUGGAAAAGCUCGGAGUUGCCAUGUCCACUGUUGGGUUCCAUAACAUCUCUAGGCCAGAUCCUUCUGCCUUAUACAUGUGGAGGGAACUCCCUGUAAGACUGCUGUUCCUUGAUGUACAGUAACAUUUGGGAAGAAAAAGUGAUCCUUGGGAAGUAGAACUUUGGAAUGUUAAGAUGUGCAGAAAACAAAGGCAACGGGCUGUGACAACUGUAAUUCCUCAUACUUUUCCUAUCAUUUGUCACCUCUGUUUUGUCAUUACAUACAUCAAUAAAACUAUAUAUAGCUAAGAAAAGACUGUGACUUGUAUGGUGGUUGUUUAUAUGAAUGACACAUUAGAGACCCUUUACUAUCAUUGCUCCCCAGUUUCCUAUGUGUGAAAGAUGUUUUGCUUAAUACUCCACAAUCUGUGUUUUGGGGGACAUUUAUAAAAAAAAAUUCAUUUAUCUCUAAAGGCUGUAAGCUUUGGGAAAUAGUAGUCCAACUGUAGGAGGAAAAUUACUGCUAUAAGAGACAGCAUUAUUCUCCAGAGCUGUGAUGAAAUGAGCUGUAUUUAGCCUUUUACUUGAGGGGAGGUUUAGAAUCAUCGAAUCAUUUAGUUUGGAAAAGACCUUUGAGAUCAGGUCCAACUGUUAACCGAGAACUGCCAAGUCCGUCACUAAACCAUGUCCCUAAGCACUGCAUCUACACGUUUGAUUGAAAAGGCCCUAGGGGGUAAAACUUCAUGAACUGACUGGAUUAACAAAUUAAAGCUGCCAUGUGGUCAGGUAAGCCCUAGAACUUUUUCUUGUGCUUCAGAAUACUGUAGAGUGAAAAGCAGGACUGCGCCUUUCACUAACACCAAGACAAUUAAUCACCUUAGCCAUAUAUAAUCUAACCAAAUCUUUGGUGACCUACAGACCAGUCUUACUAAGACAUGAAUCAUCUUUGUGCCAAAACAGUCUGAUAUAGAAUAUAUAUCAUUACAUUUGAGUGGCAAAAUAAUUUAGGAAUCACAAUAUUAACACUUGUUAUUAGCAAUUAGGAAUCACAGUAUUAACACAUGCAUAUCAUACGGCAGAUGUAUUAAAGUACAAUGACAGCAUGCUGUAUUGGAGAAAGAGGUAUUUUGCAUACACAAGAAAAGCUAUUGCCCAUAAGUAAAACCAGAUGCACCUCUGGACUAGGAAAACAGAGGAAAGAAUUUAACAGCAAAAAGUAAAGUAGUCAUGAAGACUCUAACAGUACUACCUACAGUAGAAGUUCUAUCACGUAGUUCCUUUCAUUGUUAAUUGUCUCUCAAAGUAAUGUCAAGUCUUCCACUCCUCUCUUUAAUAUUUUUCCCAGAAAUCCUAUAUUUGGGUUACAUCUACUGGGAAGCAUCCCUGCCUCAAGGUGAAACUUGCGUCAAUAGAUCAUCUUAAAAAUGUCCCAUAUAACAGCACUGAGUUUACAGUAUGCCUUGAGAAUCUUCUUUUUAUUUUUUUUUAAUAUUAUCAUCAGGACUAUACAAUUUCUUCCAAACAACUGCCAGUGUUGCUCUGUCAAAACAUGGGCAGAGAGAGGGUUAUGGAAAGGGAAAGAAUGUACAUUGCUUGGAGGACAUAAAACUGUACAAAGUUACCAUCAUCUACUUGCUUCCGUUACCAGUCUGAACUGCUCUGUAUUACCAGUGACACCCUCAGCAAGGGCAGCAGCUGUGGGUUCUUUUUACUGAAUAUAUCACUUCAGCUACUUUUUCACAAAUGCUAGUUUCGUAAUCUGCUUGAGCAAAACAAUGUUGGUUUAAUCAUAUGAGUUUCAAACUUAGAAAUAGAAUGUGUAUUUUACACCUCACUGAAAUGCUAUUCCUUUUCUUCUUUUUCUUUCUGGCUUUUUCAGAUCAUCCAGAAAGAUGUUGUGAAAGAAAAACACAGGUCCACAUCAUGAACUUACAGUUCUUUGUUUCAUCAGGCCAUCCUAAACAGAUUCAGACCAGUCCAGGCUACCUUAGACUUACGGAAACGGGUAUGAAGGAAGUUGUCUGAAGUUGUAGAAUAGGUCAG